UAUAACACUCAUAUCUGGAGAACACAAUUUUAAAACCAUCUAAACCCGUAACUUCAAUCUUAUCGAAGCAGGCUUUAACACUCUUAGAUCUGUGUAGGUCACUAACUAUCAAGAAGAGAUUGGUCAUGAUACAAUAUGUGAUUUAGUGGAGAUUUGAUGGAUCUAGAGAAGUGAAUUUGCAUGCUCGAUUGGGACUUUUCGGUGCCGAAGCUGAUGAAAAGUAUUGAUAUUUUGUUCCCAUUCACUCUAUGAAUAACUUUGUACGACUAAAAUUGGAGAGUCCGAUUUUAUGAUCAUUAUGAAACUCCAUAGCCCGUCUCCAGAAGGCUCGAGGAACAGCUCGAAGUUCGACCUCGAGGGUUCCCUAUGUUCGACCUCAGGGCAGUGCAAAUCAGUGGCUAUGAUGGACAAGCGGGAAAUUACCAAGGCACGUGGUUAGAGCUGACCAGGUCUACAAUAAUAGUAUAAGUCCGUACCAUGACAUUAAAUGGUUGUACCGGCCGCAUA